UAUCUUUUCCCAAUCUUGCUUCAUACAAUGUUCCAGAUUAAUCUUUUUCCUGAAAAUCACUGAGUUUCGUCCUUCCUACUUCCUAUUUCUGUUCGCCAGUGUGUAUCGCAAUGGUCAUUUCUUUACAGGUGAGCCAUAAUCGAUCUCUUAAAAUUGAUAAACCCUAAAUCGGUAAUCGGUAUGUUGACAGUAACAGAGACAUGAUUGAAGUGAUGGGGAACACCAAUCUUGUUAGGAAGAGGAUAUCGGUUCUUGACAGUAAGCUUGGAAAUCCAAGUAUAGAGCUGAAGUCGCUAAAAACUGUCACACCCUGAUUUCCCGGCCCAUGGAAAGUUCAUCACUGUUACCCCUCUGGUUUUCUAGGAGAAUAACCUUCCCGGUUUGAAACUUAUGUAGUGUACGAACGCGCGUUAGCCACUAUAAUGCAUUUUAUGGUUCUUAGUUACCUUAUAUUUUGUUUGUAGCUAUCCUUAUUUGCUUCAAGUUUGCGUUACCGGGAUGUGCUUUUCAAGUUACGUUAGUUGCUUUCUUAUGAGAAUCUGUUGUAUUAGAAAAAAAAAAAAAAAAACUAGAAAUAAUGUUCUCCUUUUGAUAUUUCUCUUAUACAGUAGAAAAUCUUGAAUUCAAACUUUUCACAAAACUAGAGUCACAUUCUUUUUAUCCUUAGUAACUGCAACUAUACAUGCACAUCAAGAUUUUCCUCUUUUUUUAGCUUAUAUUAGUUUAUACAAUGUGCUUUUAUAGGCCUUCAUAUUUAUACUUAAAAGUUUGAGUGUUAUAAAGUUAUGCUAUGGUAGUUGUAUAUACAAAAUUAUAGGAUGGUUUAUUGCGAGAGUUUGGCUGUACCGAAGUUGUUCUAAAUUCAUUAGAUCCCCAUUAAAGUGAAUAUGUGUAUGCAUGAUGCAUAUACAUCUAUUUAUGAGCCUGUCCUUUGUAUUUAUGCAGCAUAUUAAACUAUAAUACUAAGGCCAGCCUCAUAAAAACUAACAAACAUUCAAAUUACUUCAUAGACAAAUACUUUUAUUAGCAGCACUGGCCUAAAAAAACAUAUAAAAAUAUUAAAAGGUAUAUGUAUGAUUUAUAACUUGUAAAUUAAACCUAUUUGAAGCAAUGAAAAAUAGAAUUUGACGACUGAACUAUUUAAAAAUUGAAUCGCUAUAAAUUUAUUGUAACAUAUAAUAGGAUAGACAAUUAUUGUUUGGUGUAGGCAGGGUCCAUAUUGUUAAGACGAAAGAGGAAGAGAUACCGACCCAUAUGCUCACCUCACCGGGUCAGGUUUCCGGAUCGAUCAGGAGGGGAGCAAUCAAACAUGAUUUCAUUUAAUAUACUUUGUAUUU
rnacentral:lncRNA from 1 species